rnacentral:tRNA from 1 species
UGUCAAAUGGCUGAAGUUAGGCGGAGGAUUGUAAAUCCUUUUAUGAGUAAAUCUUUGAUGG